UGAUGAUGAGGAGGACAACAAAUGAGUAGAGAUUUAAACCUAUCCCAAGCUUGGUACAAAUUCUCUCCAGAUUUCUGUUUAAAGCUUAGGAUUUCAAUUCUAAGUUU